rnacentral:lncRNA from 1 species
UACACACCUUCCCAUGCCCUCUUUCCUUUCUUGCUCGCCACAACAAAACCCUAAUGCCCUCCACUCUAUAAAUACAUGCCUCCUUCUAUUCCAAGAGACAUACUCCUCCUUGUGGCGAUCAUCUCUCUCCAAGGCACCUCCCUCUCUCUCCCUUUUUCUCUCCUCCAUCAAAACCCUAGCCUCCUCCUUCCUUAUUCCAUCCUCUAAACACCCACAACCUUCAGUCCUCUUCUCCAUAAAAACCUCUCCUCCUGCUCUUGAUCUCUUUUCUAAGCCGUUGGAAGGAAGUUC